UACGUAGGUGGCGAGCGUUGUCCGGAUUUACUGGGCGUAAAGAGCGCGCAGGCGGUCGUGCAAGUCGCGUGUGAAAGCCCCCGGCUCAACUGGGGAGGGUCACUUGAUACUGGUCGACUCGAAGGCAGGAGAGGGAGGUGGAAUUCCCGGUGUAGUGGUGAAAUGCGUAGAUAUCGGGAGGAACACCAGUGGCGAAGGCGACUUCCUGGCCUGUUCUUGACGCUGAGGCGCGAAAGCUAGGGGAGCAAACGGG
rnacentral:rRNA from 1 species